AAAACUCCCCAGUGGGGUGCCGGUAGAUUUCGUUGCCCUCGACAAAACCUCCUGGUGGGGAGGAUUACAAGAAUCCAUCACCAACUAUUGUAGUAGGACCUGGAACGUACUUCGGCGUACCUAGCUGGUGCGUAGGCUCUACCUGCGAUGGACCUCCUUCAGACAACUGCACAGCACUGAGAGCACCCUAUAGCUGUUGUCCAGAAUAUGUAUGCGACGGCUCUCCUGUUAACUGCACAUCACCGAAUGGAACUGUACAUACCCCAUAUGAUACCUGGGUAGAGGACUGCCAAGACUGUUCUUGCUACUACUAUGAUUGGGAGAAGGCUGCUUCUAUGUAUUGCUAUCGCAUUUAUUGCUCCCAGAAACCUCACAGAGAUUGUGUGGUCAGUGGAACAUACGAUUCAGGAUGUUGCGAUGAAUAUUUCUGUGACAAUACAACAUGCAGAUCAGACAGGGGUCAGUAUUACGCCAUUGGGGACACCUGGAGCCCAGCUGACGAGCCUUGCAAGAAGUGCACCUGUCAGGCGGACGGAGACGCCACCAAAAACCGAAUGUGUCGCCAGAAAC